rnacentral:rRNA from 1 species
AACGCGAAGAACCUUACCUGGGCUUGACAUGUUUCUGACCGGUGUGGAAACACACUUUCCCUUCGGGGCAGAUUCACAGGUGGUGCAUGGCUGUCGUCAGCUCGUGUCGUGAGAUGUUGGGUUAAGUCCCGCAACGAGCGCAACCCCCGUCGCAUGUUGCCAGCAUUUAGUUGGGGACUCAUGCGAGACUGCCGGUGACAAACCGGAGGAAGGUGGGGAUGACGUCAAGUCAUCAUGCCCCUUAUGUCCAGGGCUACACACGUGCUACAUUGGCGCGUACAGAGGGCUGCGAUACCGCGAGGUGGAGCGAAAUCCCUUAAAAGCGCGUCUCGGUUCGGAUUGCAGGCUGAAACUCGCCUGCAUGAAGGCGGAGUUGCUAGUAAUCGCGGAUCAGCACUGCCGCGGUGAAUACGUUCCCGGGCCUUGUACACACCGACUGUAC